UGAGUACGAGCUGCUACGGCAGCGAAGUGGGUGAUGUCAAGCUUCCAAGAAAAGCCCUAUACCCGUUAAGGCAUGACGGCCUGUACCCGAAACCGACACAGGUGGGGUGGUAGAGAAUACCGAGGGGCGCGAGAUAACUCUCUCUAAGGAACUCGGCAAAAUGGCCCCGUAACUUCGGGAGAAGGGGUGCCACCGCAAGGUGGUCCAGUGAAGAGGCCCAGGCGACUGUUUACCAAAAACACAGGUCUCCGCUAAGUCGCAAGACGAUGUAUGGGGGCUGACGCCUGCCCAGUGCCGGAAGGUUAAGGAAGCUGGUCAGCGCAAGCGAAGCUAGCGACUGAAGCCCCGGUGAACGGCGGCCGUAACUAUAACGGUCCUAAGGUAGCGAAAUUCCUUGUCGGGUAAGUUCCGACCCGCACGAAAGGCGUAACGAUCUGGGCGCUGUCUCGGAGAGAGGCUCGGCGAAAUAGAAUUGUCUGUGAAGAUGCGGACUACGUGCACCCGGACAGAAAGACCCUAUGAAGCCUUACUGUAGCUUGGUAUUGUGCCCGGGCUCUGAAUGCGCAGGAUAGGUGGGAGGCUUUGAUCCAUUGCUUGUGGGUGAUGGUGAGCCAACGGCGAGAUACCACUCUUUCAGAGCUAGGGUUCUAACCCUCACCCGUUAUCCGGGGAGGGGACAGUAUCAGGUGGGCAGUUUGACUGGGGCGGUCGCCUCCUAAAAGGUAACGGAGGCGCGCAAAGGUUUGCUCAGGCUGGUUGGAAAUCAGCCGACGAGUGUAAAAGCAGAAGCAAGCUUGACUGUGAGACCAACAAGUCGAACAGGGACGAAAGUCGGCUUUAGUGAUCCGACGGUUCUGAGUGGAAGGGCCGUCGCUCAACGGAUAAAAGUUACUCUAGGAUAACAGGCUGAUCUCCCCCAAGAGUUCACAUCGACGGGGAGGUUUGGCACCUCGAUGUCGGCUCAUCGCAACCUGGGGCUGAAGUCGGUCCCAAGGGUUGGGCUGUUCGCCCAUUAAAGCGGUACGCGAGCUGGGUUCAGAACGUCGUGAGACAGUUCGGUCCAUAUCCGGUGCAUGCGUAAGAACAUUGAGAGGAGUUCUCCCUAGUACGAGAGGACCGGGAGGAACGCACCUCUGGUGUACCAGUUAUCGUGCCAACGGUAAACGCUGGGUAGCCAUGUGCGGAGAGGAUAACCGCUGAAAGCAUCUAAGUGGGAAGCCCACCUCAAGAUGAGUGUUCUCAUGGCUUAAGCCAGUAAGGUCACGGGAAGAACACCCGUUGAUAGGCUCUACGUGGAAGCGCAGCAAUGUGUGAAGCGGAGGAGUACUAAUAGACCGAGGGCUUGACC
rnacentral:rRNA from 1 species